GUGGUGACGCUCCGAGCAACGGAAUUC
rnacentral:sRNA from 1 species